rnacentral:rRNA from 1 species
AACGAACGCUGGCGGCAUGCCUAACACAUGCAAGUCGAACGAUCCCUUCGGGGAUAGUGGCGCACGGGUGCGUAACGCGUGGGAACCUGCCCUUAGGUUCGGAAUAACUCAGAGAAAUUUGAGCUAAUACCGGAUAAUGUCUUCGGACCAAAGAUUUAUCGCCUUUGGAUGGGCCUGCGUUGGAUUAGCUAGUUGGUGGGGUAAAGGCCUACCAAGGCGACGAUCCAUAGCUGGUCUGAGAGGAUGAUCAGCCACACUGGGACUGAGACACGGCCCAGACUCCUACGGGAGGCAGCAGUGGGGAAUAUUGGACAAUGGGCGAAAGCCUGAUCCAGCAAUGCCGCGUGAGUGAUGAAGGCCUUAGGGUUGUAAAGCUCUUUUACCCGGGAUGAUAAUGACAGUACCGGGAGAAUAAGCCCCGGCUAACUCCGUG